UGCAGCAGGGGCCUGCAUCUCGCAAGAAGCCGCAAGUCUCUCAUCAAUUUUUAUUCAAUUGCUUCAAGUUUUGUCAAUGCCACAAACGAAGAAUAAUGUUUACGAAGCUGAAAGCCACAUCUGUUUUUGAUGAAGCAACCAUUGGCAAUGAACUUUUAACAUGCAAUUGGCAUAGAAGAAAGCGAUCCGUUUUCAAACUGUGAAUUUGCUAGUUUAUGGAAAGUAUAGGUGGUUUUCAUAUGCGUCAUGCUGAUGGACUCCUUACAAAAUAAUAUCAUUGGAUUCCCUUUGCUAUUAGGCGACAUGGUGGAUGCCCUUUCUUUGUUUGUUAUUCCCUUAAGACACACAUGAAAACCAAGAAUUGCUGUUUUCAAAAUUAUAAUUAAUGUUUGCCUGAUGAGAUGAAGACAAGAAAGAGCGGCUCGCAGCUUUGGCAGAAAAACGUGUAAAGUAAAUUUGGAAUGUGAGAUAUAUUGACGUCGGACAUUUCUCGUUUUGCUUCCUUUGCAACAAUGCUAUUUAUAUUUCGCCAAGGUCACAAUUCGUUUGUUGAAGUUUGGUGAAGAAGCCAUUUUCAAUGAAGUUGAAAGCGAUGUGAUCCCACAUGGAUGGAGUUGUGAAAGUCCCUUUACCACCUCUGUCAUU